UAGCAGUGGUUCCCAAAGUGCUGGAGAGCUCCUACCGAGAGGCGAGAGGCGGAUGGGCCUCCACCGAGCCCUGGCUUUCUCCGAUAAUGGCCGUUCAUAAUCCGAGGAUCCAGGCUGGAUAUGCUACUGACACAAAAAACUUGGCAUCAGGAGAGACCAGAGCUUCCCCAAACAUUUCUGCAUCUCACUCUGGGGGUCUGGAUGCUCAACUGUGCAGUGGAGACAGUGAAACUCACCUCCAUGUAUAAAAAAGAAAGCAGAGUGUAAACCAUU